rnacentral:lncRNA from 1 species
AACUCAAUUUCAUAUUCAUAUUUUUCUCAAUCUUUUAAUGAUAAUUCAAAUAAUGAAACAUUAGAAACUCUUUCUAAUUUUCAUUCUGCUUUGAUCAAAGGCUUCCUGAAUUAUCAUAUGAUUAGAAUAAAUAGGAUGCUAUCUUCUCUUACUAGAAGUGAUUAAUUCCUUGUUAACCUACUCAUAAUCUUCGUACACAAUUCACCAUAUCCAGAAAACCUGGUACACAACUUAUUGUCAUGAAUGAGUGUAAACCAAAAUAUGGGUUCAUGUGCACAAGAUACCAUGGUGAUCUCAGGUCAUAGGAUCAGUUGCACAACUUCCACUAAGAGAAUCAUCUUUUGAUAUGUAAGUAAGACUUCAUAAGAUUUCUCUUUGUAGGUCAAUUCAGUAAACUCAUUCCUCUAAUGAGCACCCACAUCUUUGUAUUAGUGUCUCCUCACAAAUGAUUGUGAGAUCAAUCAUCCUCUGCAUCGAGCAUACAUAAGGCAUGCCAGUCUUUUCCGGUAAUCAUUGAUCCCCGACUCAAUGUACCAAUGACUGGAAAUAUUUUAGAUUAGGAUUUUAGGAUUUUAAGUCUCACUAGUAUGAUCUCAUCAUAGUCUUAAAACCAUUGCCCUAAUCUAAGGAGUUUAUCAUAAAUAUAAUCAACAGCAUAUGAUAAAACAUAACGCCUUUAUUCAUAUUUAAAUGUCAUGUACAUGAUUUGGACAAAUCAAAAGAAAAAACCUUUCGCAAUACAUAUUGUGAUUGGCUUGUAGGGCAUCUACUCUUUCA